UUCUUCUUUCGCGAGAGCUCUCUUUGCUAGACCAUGUGCAUGUGUAUUCUCUGAUCUAUGUAUGUGUUUUAAAGUAAGAUCUUGAAAAAAGGAUUUCUUGUUCUGAAUAUCUUUAAUAAUGGCACCUAUUACCGAUUUAUCUGUUGACAUCGCCUUGCUCUUCUUUAUGACGGUUUUUGAGUCUCCCAUAAUUCUAAUUGACUGAGAUCCUAAAGCAAUCCCUAAUUUCAUGCCUUCUAAACAUGCAUAUGCCUCUGCUGCGAAUGGUGAGGGAACAUUUCUGUGGAUAACCGUUUUUAUCACCAGUAGAUUUCCCCUCAUAUCCCAACCAACUAGUCCUGUCGCUGAUUUGAAGGUUCUACUAUCCAGUGUUGCAUCAAAUUUGAUCGAUAUUCUCGGUACGUUUUCCUGUAUACUGUGACUCUUGAAAAUUUUUUUCUCAAUUUUCUUCUCAGCAUUUAUUCCCUCAUAUUCUACCAUAUGUCUUUGAAUAUUCUGAGCUAAUCCCCUUCCUGUUGAAUUUUUGCCCUCGUGAAUGAGUUUGUUUCUAAAGGACCAUAUCAACCAUAACGCAUAGCAGAAAAGCCGACACUGGUAAUUGUUGUUGUUCUUGAAAACCCAGGACACUCUCGGAAAACAUGAAGACUCUCUUCUACUCCAAAAUAACAUCGUGGACAGCGGGCAGUUGAACUAACCCUCCUCAACCUGAGAUUACCAAAGUGAGGGAUAUAAUCCCAUGAAAUCCUCCAGAUUGUAAUUGCAAUUUUUGAAGGCAAUUGUAGGCUCCAUAAUUUUUUGUAAAAAUUUCUUAUUUCGGUCUGUAAUAGGUAGUCAUUAGCUGUAGAAGCAUCUUGUAGUAGUUUAUACGCACUACGUACUGAAAACUCACCAGAUAGUUCUCCACUCCACACCUGAAUAUCCUCAUGUUCGGUCUCUGCCAGAGGAAUUUGUAGAAUCUUCCGAGCAGUAUCUUCUUGAAAGCCACCUUGUCAAUCCCCUGAAUCCAGUUGUCUUCCCAGAUAGAAAUGCUACUCCCUUUACCAACUCUCCAACCCAAUCCUCUUUGGAGAAGUCCUUUUGCCCCCCAGAUGCUCUUCCAGGUAAAUGAAGACAAAAAGAUAGGACGUCAUCCCCAACAAUCUGCCAACACUUCUGAUAGAAUAAUGCUGGAAACCCAUCCUCCCCUGGUGCUUUUGUAGGUCCCAUUUCAAAAACAGCUUCUCUAAUUUCCUCUCUGGAAUAUGGUUCUGUAAGUUUUCGGUUGUCAUCCGCAUGAAUGCAGCGUUCUAUCCCUGAUAGAAUAUGAUCAUAAUUCCCAUUCUCUCUUGCCGAAAAUAAAUUCUGAAAAUAAGACUUAGCCACACCCUCAAUGUCUUGAAUGAGCUCCAUUUCUCUACCCUCUUCAUCUUUCAGCUUAUGAAUGAUAUUCUUUUUUCUCCGUUGUGAAGCUUGGCUAUGAAAGAAAGCAGUAUUUUUGUCCCCUAAUUUCAACCAGUUAAUUCUAGCUCUCUGUUCCCAAUAGCAUUCGUCCUUCUCAAUCUCAAAAUUCAAGUUUAUUUUUGUAUCAAUCAAUUCAGCUAAGGUCUCUUCAUUUCUGGUUGCUUCAGCUAACUCGCCAAGUUUCUUCGUAAGCAUCUGUUUUGUCUUCUGCCUAUUUUUUUAACUGCCCAGCCCAAAUCUGCAAUCCUUUCUUUAAAUUAUCUAGCCUCUUUAAUAUUUCCUCUGACGAAUUCUCCCAUAGUUUUUUGACUUCUUCCAUGAAAGAUUCUUCCAACAGCCACCAUGCUUCAAAUCUGAAAUUGUUAUCCCUUACUCGUUCUGCAAAUCUCCUGGUAUUAAUAAGAAGAGGACAAUGGUCUG